ACUCCUACGGGAGGCAGCAGUGGGGAAUAUUGCACAAUGGGCGCAAGCCUGAUGCAGCAACGCCGCGUGAGCGAUGAAGGCCUUCGGUCGUAAAGCUCUGUCCUCAAGGAAGAAUAAAUAGACGGUACUUGAGGAGGAAGCCCGGCUAACUACGUGCCAGCAGCCGCGGUAAUACGUAGGGGGCAAGCGUUAUCCGGAAUCACUGGGGCGUAAAGGGUGCGUAGGCGGUUUUCAAGUUCAGAAGUGAAAGGCUAUGGCUCAACCAUAGUAAGCUUUUGAAACUGUUAAACUUGAGUGCAGGAGAGGAAAGUGGAAUUCCUAGUGUAGAGGUGAAAUUCGUAGAUAUUAGGAGGAACACCAGUGGCGAAGGCGACUUUCUGGACUGUAACUGACGCUGAGGCACGAAAGCGUGGGAGCGAACAGGAUUAGAUACCCUGGUAGCACAGAG
rnacentral:rRNA from 1 species